GGAGUCUGAGGAGACAGCAGAGAACUUUCUGGAAGGAAAGACAGAUAUCGAUGACUUCUUAACCAGCUUCAUGGAAAAGAGAACGCUUUGCCAUUGCAGAAGAGCCAAAGAGGAAAAGCUCCAGCAAUGCAUGACAGUUCCCUACCAUACUUUAGAUUAAAUGCCCCAAGUUUGGGAUCAAUCUACCAGCAGACCGGUGAGCUUAAGACAAGCAGCUCAUCAUGUGGCCUACAGCCUUGAGUGGGCAAACCUAGAUACAUAUGAAAAAGAGAUUUCAGCAUCAUUUCCUGAAAUCAACGUGAUUUUUGCACAGAAUUUCCAAAAGCAUCACAUUCCCCUGGUCGAGUAGGCCAGAU